rfam:TPA: Bos taurus chromosome 16, whole genome shotgun sequence.
UCCCUGGUGGUCCAGUGAUUAGGACUCCGCAUUUUCACUGCAGGGAGCAUGGGUUCAACCCCUGACGGGGGAA